rnacentral:rRNA from 1 species
AUUGAACGCUGGCGGCAGGCCUAACACAUGCAAGUCGAGCGGAUGACGGGAGCUUGCUCCUUGAUUCAGCGGCGGACGGGUGAGUAAUGCCUAGGAAUCUGCCUGGUAGUGGGGGACAACGUUUCGAAAGGAACGCUAAUACCGCAUACGUCCUACGGGAGACAGCAGGGGACCUUCGGGCCUUGCGCUAGCAGAUGAGCCUAGGUCGGAUUAGCUAGUUGGUGGGGUAAUGGCUCACCAAGGCGACGAUCCGUAACUGGUCUGAGAGGGAUGAUCAGUCACACUGGAACUGAGACACGGUCCAGACUCCUACGGGAGGCAGCAGUGGGGAAUAUUGGACAAUGGGCGAAAGCCUGAUCCAGCCAUGCCGCGUGUGUGAAGAAGGUCUUCGGAUUGUAAAGCACUUUAAGUUGGGAGGAAGGGCAGUAAGCUAAUACCUUGCUGUUUUGACGUUACCGACAGAAUAAGCACCGGCUAACUCUGUGCCAGCAGCCGCAGUAA